rnacentral:snRNA from 1 species
AUACUUACCUGGCAGGGGAGACACUCUGGUUAUGAAGGUGGUUUUCUCAGGGCGAGGCUUAUCCAAAAUACUUUGGAUGUGCUGACCCCUGCGAUUUCCCCAAAUGUGGGAAACUGCAUAAUUUGUGGUAGUUGGGACUGUGUUUGCUCUCUCCCCU